CGGGCACAGGAGUCGCCCCUCAAAGCGAGUCUGGUGCAGCCAACGUGCGGCGCUUCCUUGCGGACCUGAGCCCAGACCCUCCAACUAGAGGCAGCGUUUAACAUCAGUAACUGAGAUAAGCCUCAGUAAAGAUCAGGCUGGAGUACAGUGGUAUGAUCUUGGCUCACUACAACCUCCUCCUGCAGGUUCAAGCAAUUCUCCUGCCUCAAACUCCUGAGUAGCUGGGACUACAGGUGCACUUCAGACUUCUGUGACUGACAGCACAUGGGGUCCUAUAUGCUCUAAUGGUGAACCUGGGUAUUACAAAAUAUGUGAGUAGGUGGGCUUCUGUUAAAUGGGGUACUUAAAAAAGAACUAUUCAUGUUGCCCACGUUGUGCUUGAAUGGGCACAGUCUUAAGAAUGCAAUGAGCUCAAAUGUUAAUAUAUGCCCAUUGGACUAUAGUUUCCAUGAAAGGUCAUGUUGUGCCUGUCAAUAAAUGCUGUAGAAUAAGACAUGAACUACAAUGCUGUGCUCUUCACAAAAGGCAACCUUAUCUGCCUCUAUAGAGAGAGUGAGAUUGUAUUAUCAUAUAAAAGAAAAUAAAGACUGUACCCCUAUAGGUUCUUUGUGUGUAUUUGUGGUUGAGUGAGCAGGCAAUUUUGGAGAGAUAAACACAUUGGAUAUCAUUUGAUUCCUAUACACAUUGACUAUUUUACAGAACAUUAUACUCUAAGGAGAUUUGUCUACUUUAAAAUCAAGAGAUGAUAAGGAAUCAUAAAGAUCUAAAUUUAUGUUGCCUGCUUUACCAUGAAACCAUCUAUUAUUAAUAUAAAGCAGUAAGAAAGAAUGCCCUAUAAUUAAUGGUCUAAAAGUGAAAAUGACAUGACUAGCUUUUUUCACUGAAAGCAAUUUCUAUUCUGUUAUUGUUACUCUGUGGCUUAAUUUUAAAAUUUUAUUAUGUCUUUAAAUCAUGAUUACUAUAGGAAAUAUGAUGCUUUUCUACUUCCUAACCACUGCUUAUCCAAGCAUCCACAAUCUUUUAUAAUACUAUUUUGUACAACCAUAUUUAUUUUAAAAUAAAAAGCAUUAGAUUUUUUAGUAUAGUGACAGAAUCUUAUUGUGGUAGUUGAAUAAAGCAACAUUUACUUAAGUCAAAGGAUUAGAAUAUGAAUAUGCAUUGAUAUUGAGAUGUACAUAACUUUGAAAAAUUUAAUGACAGCAAUACUAAAGAAUAAAUUAAUUUUUACAAGUAUAAAUUCAAAAUUCUAGAAAAUUCAUGUUGAAAAUUGCUUAAAAUUUUUAUUAUGAGGCUUUUAGGAAAGGCAUUUUAUUUCUUGAUAAUAUAAAAUACAGCAAAGAGAACUCAAAUAUUCAGAAUUUCCUAGGAUCACAUCUCUGACUGAAUGAAAUUCAAUUCAAAAGACAAAUACAGACAUAUAUCUUAAAAAAUGUGCUAUGAGCUGGUAGUUGUCUGUAGAGAAUGUACACUCUAACAAAAAAACAGUAGGAUAACUUCAAUACAAUGCUGUGGUUGGCGCUUUGAUAAUGGCAUGCACAGCAUGCACAUAAGAGGAAACUUAACAUUAGCUGGAUGGAAUGUGAUGUUUUUUUCUAGGACUAGCUUCUUGCCUUAUAAAAGAGCAGAGUCUGGGGCUCUUGAUUCUAUAAUCUCUAAAAUCCAGAAUAAGACUGAGGAAUUAACUGGGGUAACCUGGGAGAUGAGAGUGCUUACCCUAGAAAUUUGGGUGGUUUGGAAAGCAUUGGCAGAUGCUCUCUUUCCACCGAAGUAACUCCAGAAUAGGGCACCAUGAUUAGAAUUGAGGGACUGCAGUGUUAACCGACCUGAUGGUGACUUGGUGAUUUAGCAUACCUUUAAUAUUCUUCUUGAGGUAGGACCCUCAGAUAGAUACUCUUGUGGAGAUAGUGAACUUCUCCUCUUCACCUUCCCUCCCACUGCUCCAGUCUCCCAAAGACAAGGAAAAGUGAAUCUAGGAAAUGAAGCAGUGAGAGUAGAGAACCUAAGAAAAAAUAGAGAUGGUAUAUUAAUCAACUAAGAAUUACGUUAAGACAUAUGCAUCAUCAGUUUUACCUGUGCCCAAAACGGAGGAACUCUGUAGAUGCCAGGGAGAUGAGUUUUGGAGAAAUGGUGAGGAGAGGAGCUCCUCUUACAGUAGCAGCAGAACAAGGCAUGCUGGUAUUGGACUUCUUAAUCCAGCAAUGUUUACCUCACUUUGCUGGAGCAGCACACAAAGUGUUUAUCUUGAUGUUUAUCUAGAGUUAUAGGCACAAGUACUGAACUCGUGUGUUGAAAGGGUGCACUAUUGCCUAGUUCCAAUCAGGUAAAGUUGGAGAGAGUAACCUGGGCUUCUUAGGAGCAAAAUUAAUACUUAAAAAAAGUAUUCUUUUUAAGGGGCCUUACCUCUGGCAGGGAUUUCCCUAAAACUGGGAGGUUUUGGUUCUCUAUAAACUCCAAUUUCCUGGAAAUAAUAUUUUGUAUAUCCUAGAAGUAAUAGUAUAAUUCAUCCUGAAAAAUAUGAUUCUGAUGGCGUUGGCUGAUUAUUGCUGGCAGUGAAAGUAGGUGUUGUGGAAUAUUCUAGAUGUAUAAUAUUUAAUUACGUUAUUGGAGAAGUUAAAAAAUUACAAAAGAACACAGGUUUAGUUUCAUUUGUGCUAAUGGGCUAAUGGAAGUUCACUUUGAUAUUUAUCUUACAAUAUUUUCAAUUUCGAUAUCAUCAACUUGAAUGAAAAUUAUUAUAGUUAGAAAUAAGCACAUGAUAAUAUAAAACAUGCCGAAAGUAUAGAAGAACGCUAGGGAAUGGAGAUUGCUGAUGAAGCUAGAGUUAAAGAAAAUUUCUUAUAGAAGGUUAGUUCUUUCUGGAAGGAUGUAAUAGAUGCAGAUUGGCGUCUAUGUUUUAAUUUGUAUUGAGCAACUCAUGCAACCAUGUCAAAGGCUUUUCACCUUCAGCAUCUCACUUUAUCCAGACAAAAUUUCUAUAGCUGUUACCAUAAUAAUUAGAUUAACAAAAAAACUAAGCCAUAAAGAAGUUAAAUAUCAUCUAAGAAUACAUUUGAUUAGCUGGAUAUCUGAGACUUGAAGCCAAAUCUCCUGUGUUCUGGUCCAUAGGAUGUAUUCUCUUUCCUAUUUUAUCCCUCAUAUAGUAUAAGUAACAAGGAAUAGACUACAAAUAUAUGGAUAUUCCAAUAAUUUUUCUACUAAUUUAAAAGCAAAAAAUAGUUCAUCUAUUAAAAGUAAUCAUACCCAAUUAUGACCAAAUCCCAGGAAGUUAGGGAAAAAUGAAUUCUUAUCAAAGAUCAGGUCAACUUGGUCAGAUAACAUAUACUAAGCAAAUUUUUUUUUAAGACAAAGUGUGCUUCUACUGCCUAGGCUAGAGUGCUGCACUGGUGUGAUCUCAGCUCACUGCAUCCGCGGCUCUUUGGGUUCAAGCCAUUCUCCUGCCUCAGCCUCCUAAGUAGCUGGCAUCAUAGAUGUGAGCCACAAUGCCCAGCUAAUUUUUGUGUUUUUGGUAAAGAUGGGGGUUUUAUCAUGUUAGCUAGUCUGGUCAUGAACUCCUGACUUCAAGUGACCCACCGGUCUCAGCCUCCCAAAAUGCUGGGAUUACAGAAGUGAGCCACCAUGACCGGCCUGCAAGUAGCUUUUCUUAAGGCAAUGCAAUAUUAGCCUUUGAAAGUUCUCCUCAUGAGGGUCCAUAUAGACAAUUCGUUUUGUUGACCAGCACCCAGAUCUAAGUGAUACGUCAAGGUGUUUUCCCAUUAUUUUGCCAUGAUGUGUCUGGAAAUGGAACUGGAUGUGAUAUUCUGGUCUUGGGCUCUCAUUUCUGAGGCCAGGAAGUGUUAGAGGGGGGUUAGGUUGUUAGCAAUUAACUCUAGAUUUUUCUCAAAAGCAAGGAGGAAGCUUUGCCCACCACUAAUUUUUCCACAUGUGGUUAUUGCCUAUCAUAAGCUACUACUUCUAGGCUAAUUAAAAAUGGCUUGUGUGCCAAGCAAAGUUACCAUUACAUAUCACACUUCAUUCUCAUUCUGGUUUGUUUUCUUUGGGAUUUCAAACUAAGAAAUCCCUUCUUGAAUUAUAGUCUUUUCUUCUUUCUCCCCAUAUCUUCCCACAUUUUUGCUUCUUUUGAGUUUGUACUUCAUCUUUGGCUCCAGGUAUUUUAAUUACUAGAUAACAACUGUCCUAAAUUUAGAAUAUAGAGAUAAAAGAUACAGUUUCAGCCAUCAAGGAGCUCACAGUCUAGCAAGACUGGCAAAAAAGGAAUCAGAAAAUGACAAUACUGUGUGGCAAAGUGUUAGAAAUUAUUGCUGGUACUAUAUCUCUUUUGAGUAGUGUGAUCUCGGUUAACCAUAUAAAACACAAGCAGAGAUUUGAGACUAAGUAGAAAAAGCCCCACUGUAUUACUUUUUUAUUGCUGCAUUGCAAAUUGCCCCAGAAUUUAGUGGCCUAAAAAAUCAUUUAUUAUUUGGCAUUUUCUAUGGGGCAGGAAUUUGGACCUGAAUUAGCUGGGUCCUCUUACCACCAAUGACUACAGCAUCAAUGUUGCUUUCAUCAACAUUGAGGCUGGAGUCAUCACAAGGUUUGUCUGGGUUGGAUCUACUCUCAGGCAUACUCAGGUAGUUAGUUGUUGGCAAGAUUUAGUUCCUUGUGAGUUUCUGGACUGAAGGCCUUAGUUCUUUGCUGCUAUUGUCUGGAGACCACCUUCAGCUUUUAUCAGGUGUGCCUCUCCAUAGGACACCCAACAACAAGGCAGCUGGCUUCAUCCUAGUGAGCAAGUUAAAGGAUGUGAGAGAAAGUGUGAGCAAGCAAGGAGUCAUAGUCUUAUAACCUAAUCUCAGAAGGGUCAUCCAUCACUUUUGCCAUAUUCUGUUUGUUAGAAGCAAGUCACUAGGUUCAGCCUAUACUCAAAAAAAAAAAAAAAAAAAAAAAAAAAAAAAAAAGACAUCACCCAAGGGAAUAAGCAACAGGAGUUAAAAAUUACUGGGGGCCAUUUUGGAAGCUGCCUACCACACCCAGAAUGAAACAUCUAUUAAAAUAUCCAUAAACUUUUUCUAAAAAAAGGUACGAGUAUAUUUCCCAGGCCUAAAAGUAGCUUAUAAUUAAUUACUGAAUUUACAAAGUAUCUCAUUUUUUAGAUGCAGAAUGUACCAGAUUUGAAGCAGCCAAAAGGGUUAAACAAAACCGAAGCAUGAAGAGGUGAAAAGCACCUGCCAUUUAUUAUGUCUAUACACAAGAAACUGUGUUGGCUGCCUCCAUACAUUUUGUUUCAGUUAACCUUCAAAAAAUGUUGCAUGAAAUAGAGAAGCAGCCUAUCUUAGUGGCAGGGCUGUUUCACAGAACUGUGCAAGUGGUACCCUGAAGAAAACGAAGCCGUCUCUGACAGUGUAAGCAAUACAUCAUUGAUUGUCCUUGUAGUGGCCCAUGAUUCCUUGGGUAUGGAAUCAGUACUUUGUUACUAAUGCUGUGAUUGUCACAAGUUGCUUAGCAUCGUGAAGACUUAGUUUCCUCAUUUCUAGAAUAAGGAGGUCAUAACAUUAAUUAACUCUCAGGACUGCUAUGAAGAUAAAAUGAGAUCAUCAUCAUCAUCGUUGUCAUCAUCACUUAUUCAAUGCUUAUGACAAUCUUGACACUCCUCUAAGUGUUACAAAUAUUUUAACUCUAACAAAACUCCAUCCACAAGGAAGGUAUUUUUAUGAUCUCAUUUUUAACCAAUGAGGAAAAUAAGAUAUGGAAAGUUAAAAAAAAUCUGUGUAUGAUCACAGAGCUAGGAACCAAUCUGACUCCAAAGUCUGAGUUUUUAAUCUCAUUAUACUAUCUCUCAUCAUUGUGGAGUCAAUGAUGUAGUAUAGUGUCUAACAAUUAGUAUAUAUUCAAUAUUAGCUCUUAGUCUUAUCCCAUUUUACUAAUAGGAAAACAAAGAUUUUUAAGUGGUUAACAACUUAUCUAAAAAGUAAUCCUGAUCUUAAAUGAGAGACCCAAGAUUUUAAACCACAUAUGUGGAUCCAAAGCACAUGGCAUUCUUUGUUUUAUUCAGAAUAAUUAUGCCAAUCAUGUUGUGAUCUUUGUCUAAAGGUAAACAACUCUACAUGACUCACCCCUCAGGGCAUUGCUACAUUGUAGCACAAUGCAAACACUGAAGUUUAUAAGAAUGAUUCAAGACCAUCAAGGAAAGGAUAAAUUUUAUAUGAUAUACUUUCUGUAAGAACGACUAAAAGUGUAUGAUAUAUUUUAGAUUUCCAUCAAAUUUAUUAAAAUAAAAUCAGUUCAGUCAUAUACUGGCUGAGCUUCAGCUACCUGAAAAAUUGAUUGAUGUUGAACACCUUGUUCCUGAGCAAUGUCAGUGAAAUGAAGUGUGGCUGUAUAAAAUAAGAGGGAUAGUGAAUGCAAUAGCUUUGGAUAUUUAGCUACAAAAUGAACCACAACAGUCUUAGUUCAGUUUCCACAUCAAACUGUAAACAGAGAAUGUUCUGCAACCCACGAAAAUAAUCAUAUUAAAGGAAUGUGAUCCACAAAAUGUAUUCGGUUUUUAAAAAGGCAUAUACACCCAUCCACUGGCUAUAUCUUUUCCAUAUAGUUACAUACAUCUGAUGAAAUUAUUAAUCAUCCACUUUUCUUUAUGCAGCUCUUAUCAAAUUAUAGAAAAUAGAGCUGUUAAAUGAAGUGUUAUUUUGUAAAGAAAACAAGCAUUUUACCCAUGAAAAUAUAUGAACCAGCAAAGGAAUGUGAUAUUAUAAAUUCAUUAUUUUCAGCCCAAAUUGGGCUCACAACACUAGCUGAGGAAAAGAAAAAACCCCUUAAAUAGCUCUGUAAUCAUCAUGCUAGCCUCAUCUUACAAGAUAUCUAAAUUAACUUCUUUUGAUUUUCCACCCAUCUUUCUGGCUUCUCUGCUUUAAGUGAUUUUUGGAGUUUGUCUUUCUUUUUUCUUUAUUUAUGUCCUGAUGAUAACAUUUAGUUUCAUAUUGUCAAAAAUGUUCAGGUGCCACUCUGAUGGCAUGCACACUUGAGUGCAGAUGCUGCUGCCACUACCCCAGUGGAAAGCUUUGGCUGACACCCCCACCAUCAGAAUGUUUUUGUCAGCAGACCAGGAACACCUCAGCUCUUCCAGUGCAGCAGGUGCUUAACCUAGGGGGGUCAAAGAACAAAGCCUGGCACCAGUCCCCGAGGGUUAGAGCAUGCAGCCAGGAGUGCUGAUGUGAGCCUUGUGCCCCCCAAAAUCUAUCAUAAACAAAGCCAGUCAAGUGAAGUUAGCUUAUAACACAGUCAAACCCUCAAGGGCAUCAUAUAAUAUAAAAGCAAAAAACCCUAUGCAAAGGACAGCAACUUCAAAGAUUAAAGGAACAUGAGGCUACACAGAUGAGAAAGAACCAGCGCAAGAACUCUGACAGCACAAAAAGUCAGAGUAUCUUCUUAUUUCCAAAUAAUUUGCAUUAGUUCCUCAGCUAUGGCUCUUAACCAGGCAGAAACGGCUAACAUGACAGAUACAGAUUCAGAAUCUGGAUAGAAAUGAAGAUCACUGAGAUUCAGGAGAAAGUCAAAACCCAGUAUAAGGAAUCUAAUGAAACUGAUAAGAUGAUAGAAGAGCUGAAGCACAAAAUAGCCAUUUUAAGAAAGAACCAAACUGAUCUGAUUGAACUGAAAAACUUAAUUACUAUAAGAGUUUCAUAAUACAAUCACAAAUAUUAACAGAAGAAUAGACCAAACUGAGGAAAGAAUCUGAAAGCUCAAACACUGGUUCUUUGAGUCAACUCAGUCAGACAAAAAUGAAGAAAAAAGAGUAAAAAGAAUCAACAAAACCACUGAGAUAGAUGGAAUUAUGUAAAUAGACCAGAUGUGUAACUUAUUGGUAUCCCUGAAAGAGAGGAACAGAAGGAAAGCAACUUGGAAAACAUACUUGAGGAUAUUAACCAAGAAAAUUUCUCCAACUUUGCUAGAGAGUUUGACAAAUUCAGGAAAUGUAGAGAAUCCUUGUGAGAUACUAUACUAGACAACUAUCCCCAAGACAUGUAGUCAUCAGAUUCUCCAAGGCCAAUAUGAAAGAAAAAAUAAUAAAGGCUGCCAAAUAGAAAGGGCAGGUCACCUGCAAGGAAACCCCAUCAGGCUAACAAUGGACCUUUCAGCAAAAAACCUACAAGCAAGAGGAUAUUGAGGGCCUAUAUUCAGCAUUCUUAAGGAAAAGAAAUUCUUUUUUUGUUGUUCUUUUCUCCUUUUAAAAAAAAUAUUUAUACUAUAUAGUAACCCUUUGCUAGAUGGGUAGAUUGCAAAAAUUUUUUCCCAUUCUGUUGGUUGCCAGUUCACUGUAUUGAUAGUUUCUUUUUCUGUGCAGAAGCUCUUAAGUGUAAUUAGAUCCCAUUUGUCUGUUUUGGCUUUUGUUGUCAUUGCUUUUGGUGUUUUAGUCAUGAAGUCCUUGCCCAUGCCUAUGCCCUGAAUGGUAUUGCCUAGGUUUUCUUCUAGAGUUUUUAUGGUGUUAGGCCUCAUUUUUAAAUCUUUAAUCCAUCUAGAAUUAAUUUUUGUAUAAGAUGUGAGGAAGGGAUCCAGUUUCAGCUUUCUGCAUACAGCUAGCCAGUUUUCCCAACACCAUUUAUUAAACCGGAAAUCCUUUCCCCAUUGCUUGUUUUUGUCAAGUUUGUCAAAGAUCAGAUGGUUGUAGUUGUGUGGCAUUCUUUCUGAGGCCUCUUUUCUGUUCCAUUGGUUUAUAUCUUUGUUUUGGGUACCAGCACCAUGCUGUUUUGAUUACUGUAGCCUUGUAAUAUAGUUUGAAGUCAAGUAUCAUGAUGCCUCCAGCUUGUUUAUUUGUUUGUUUGUUUGUUUUCUUUGCUUAGGAUUGUCUUGGCUAUGCAGGCUCUCUUUUGAUUCCAUAUGAAGUUUAAAGUAGUCUUUUCCCAACUCUGUGAAGAAAGUCAUUGGUAGCUUGAUGGAGAUAGCAUUGAAUGUAUAAAUUACUUUGGGCAGUUUCUAACCAAGUGUUUUUUAUUCAGCCAAAUUAAAUAUAAGCAAAAGAGAAAUAACUUUCUUUUUAGACAAGCAAAUGUUAAGAGAAUCUGUUACCACCAGACUGGCCUUACAUGAGUUCCUUAAGGGAGUGCUAAACAUGGAAAUGAAAGACUCUUACUGGCCAUCACAAAAACGCACUUAAGUACAUAGACUAUUGGAACUAUAAAACAACUAUACAAUCAAGUCUGCAUAACAACCAGCUAACAACAUGAGGACAGGACCAAAUCCACACAUAUCAAUAUUAGCCUUGAAUAUAAAUGAGCUAAAUACCCCAAUUAAAACACAUAGUGGCAAGCUGGAUAAAGAAGCAAGACCCAACUGUAUGCUAUCUUCAAGAGACCCAUCUCACAUGCAAUGACACCCAUAGGCUCAAAGUAAAGAGAUGGAGCUAAUUUCAGAGAAACAGACUUUAAACCAACAACAAUCAAGAAAGACAAAGAAGGUUAUUACAUAAUGAUAAAGGAUUUAAUUAAAAAAAAAAGACUUAGUUAUUCUAAAUAUAUGUGCUCCAAACACUGGAGCACUCAGAUUCAUUAAAAAAAGUUCUUAGAUGCCUAUGAAGAGACUUAGAUAACCACACAAUACGUGUGGGAGACUUCAAAACCUCACUAACAGAACUAGAUAUAUCAUCAUGACAGAAAACUUACAAAGAUAUUCGAAACUGAAUUCAACACUUGACCACAUGGAUCUAACAGACAUCUUCAGAACACACCACCCAACAACAAUAGAAUAUACUGUCUUCUCAUUUGCACAUGGCAUGCACUAUAAAAGUGAUCACACCAUCAGCCAUAAAAUAAUUCUCAACCAUUGAAAAAAACCCAAAGUAAUAACAACCACACUCUUGGACCACAGUGCAAUAAAAUGAGAAGUCAAUACAAGAAUAUCUCUCAAAAUUAUACAAUUACAUUGAAAUUAAACAACCUCCUCCUGGGUGACUUUUGGGUAAGCAGUUAAAUGAAGGCAGAAAUCAAGACAUUAUUUAAAACUAAUGAAAACAAAGAUACAACAUAUAAGAAUCUCUGGGAUGGGCCAGGUACAGUGCCUCAUGCCUGUAAUCCCAGCACUUUGGGAGGCCAAGGUGGGCAGAUCACUUGAGGCCAGGAGUUUGAGACCAGCCAGAGCAACACUGUAAAACUCUGUAUCUACUAAAAAUACAAAAAUUGACUGGGUGUGGUGGCACAUGCCUGUAAUCCCAUCUACUUGAGAAGUUGGGGCACAAGAAUUGCUUGAACCUCAGUGAGCUGAGAACACACCUUGCAUCCCAGCCUGGGUGACACAGCGAGACUAUCUAAAAGAAAAAAAAAAAAAAGAAAAAUCUCUGGAAUAUAGCUAAAACAGUGUUAAUAGAAAAGUUAAGAGCAAUCUCAAACUAACAACUUAACACCACACCUAGAGAAAUGAAAAAAACAAGACAAACCAAUCUCAAAGCUAUCUAGAAGGAAAGAAAUAACCAGCAUCAAGCUAAACUGAAAAAAGAUGAUCUAAAUAUCAGAAAUGACAAAGGGAACAUUGCUAUCAAUUCCACAGAAAUAAAAAUAACCCUCAGAUACUGUUACAAACACCCCUUUGCACACAAACUAGAGAACUUAGAAGAAAUCAAUAUGUCCCUGGAAACAUAAAACCUCAAAAGGUUGAACCAGGAGGAAACUGACAGCCCAAACAGACCAAUAACAAGUUCUGAAAUUGGAUCAGUAAUUACAAGCCUACUGACCUAAAAAGCCCUGAACCAGACACAUUCACAGCUGAAUUAUACCAGAUGUAUAAAGAAGAGCUGGUACCAAUCCUACUGAAACUAUUCAAAACAAUUGAGGAGGAAGGACUUUUUCAUACCUCAUUCUAAGAGGCCAGCAUCAUUCUGAUACCAAAACCUGGCAGAGACACAAAAAAAAAAAAAAAAAAAAAGAAAACUUGGGUCCAAUGUAUUUGAUGAACAUAAAUAUAAAAAUCCUCAACAAAAUACUAGCAAAUCAAAUCCAGCAGUGUAUCAAAUAGAUAAUCCACCUUGAUCAAGUAGGCUUUAUUCCUGGGAUGCAAAGUUGGUUUAAUAUACACAAAUCAAAAAAUGUGAUUCACCACAUAAAUAGAAACAAAACCCAAAAUCACAUGAUUAUCUCAAUAGAUGCAGAAAAGGCUUUUUAUAAAAUUCAACAUCCCUUCAUGUUAAAAACUUUCAGUAAUCUAGGCAUUGAAGGAAUAUUCCUCAUAAUAAUAACAACCAAAUAGGACAAACCCACAGCCAGCAUCAUAUUGAAUGGGCAAAAGCUGGAAGCAGUUCCCUUAGAACCAGAAAAAACAAGCAGGCUCACGCUCACCACUCCUAUUCAACAUAAUAAUGGAAGUCCUAGACAGAAUCAGGCAAGAGAAAAAAAUAAAAUUAUCCAAUUAAGAAAAAAGGAAGUUAAAAAAAUCUCUGUUCAUCAAUGACAUGAUUGUAUACUCAGUAAAUUUAAAGACCCUCCAAAAGACUGCUAUUCUUGACAAAAAACUGUAGUAAAAUUUCAGCUUAUACAAAUCAGGAGCAUUCCUUUACAUCAACAAUAUGCAAGCUGAGGACCAAAUCAAAAGUGCAAUCCCAUUCACAAUAGCCACAAAAAAUAAUGUACCUAGGAAUGCAGCUAACUAGUGAGGUGAAAGAUUUCUACAAUGAGAAUUAUAAAAUACUGCUAAAAGAAAUCAGAGAUGACACACAAAAAAAUGGAAAAACACUUCAUGCUCACAGAUAAGUAGAAUAAAUACGGUUAAAAUGGUCACACUGCCCUAAGCAAUUUACAGAUUUUAUGCUAUUUCUAUCAAACUACUAAUGACAUUUUACACAGUAUUAAAAAGAACUAUUCUAAAAUUCAUAUGGAAUCAAAAAAGAUUCUGAAUAACCAAUGAAAUCCUAAGGAAAAAGAAUAAAGCCAGAGGUACCACACUACCUCAUUUCAAACGACUCUACAAGGCUACAGUAACCAAGACAGCAUGGUACUUGUACAAAAACAAACACAGACCAAUGGAAUGGGUUAGAGAACCAAGAAAUAAAGCCACAUACCUACAACCAUCUGAUUUUCAACGAAGUCAGCAAAAGCAAGCCAUGGAGAAAGGACUCCCCUAUUCAAUAAGUGGUGCUACGCUAAAUGGCUAGCCAUAUGCAGAUUAUAGAAACUGGACCCCUUCCUUCAUUAUAUGCAAAAAUAGACUCAAGAUUGAUUAAAUACUUAAAUGUAAAAAAACCCUAGAAGAAAACAUAGAAAAUAUCAUUCUGGACAUAGGCAUUGACAAAGAUUUCAUGACAAAGAUGACAAAAGCAAUUGCAACAACAAAAAAAUGACAAAUGGCAACUAAAUGAAAGAGCUUCUGCAUAGCAAAAGAGACUAUCAAGAGUAAACAGAUAACCUAUAGACUGGGACAAAAUAUUUUCAAACUAUACAUUCAACAAACUUCUAAUUCCAGAAUCCAUAAGGAACUUAAACAAAUCAACAAGCAAAAAAUAAGCAACCACAUUAAAAAAGGGGCAAAGGAUGUAAACAGAUACUUCCCAAAAGAAUACAUACACAUGGCCAGCAAGCAUAUGAAAAAAUGCUCGAUAUCACUAAUCAUUGGAGAAAUGCAAAUAAAAACCACAAUGAGAUACCAUCUCAUUUAGACCAGUCAAAAUGGCUAAUAUUAAAAAGUCAAAAAAUAACAGAUGCUGUAAGGCUGUGGAGAAAAGGGAAAGCUUAUACACUGCUGGUGGGAAUGUAAACUAGUUCAGCCACUGAAGAGAGCAGUUUGGAGAUUUCUCAAAGAAUUUCAAACAGAAUUACCAUUUGACCCAGCAAUUUCUUACAGGAUAUAUAUCUGAAGGAAUGUAAAUUAUUCUACCAUAAAGACACAUGCAUGUGUAAGUUCAUUAUAGCACUAUUCACAGUAGCAAAGAUAUGGGUUCAACCUAAAUGCCCAAAAAUAAUGGAUUGGAUAAAGAAAAUGUAGUACAUAAAAUCAUAGAAUACUAUACAUCCAUAAAAAAGAAUGAGAUCAUGUCCUUUGCAGAAACAUAAGUGGAGACAGAGGCCAUUAUCCUAAGCGAAUUAAUGUAGGAAUGGAAGACAAAAUUCUGCAUGUUCUCACUUAUAAGUGGGAGCUAAACAUUGAGUACACAAAGACGCUAAGAAGGGAAUAGGCACUGGGGCCUACAUGAGGGUGGAGAGUGGGAGGAGAGUGAGGAUUGAAAAACUACCUGUCGAGUAUUACACUUAGUAGCUGGGUGAUGAAAUAAUGUGUACACCAAAUCCCUGCAACACACAAUUCACCUAUAUAACAAACCCACAUAUAUACCUCUGAACCUAAAAUAGAAGUUGGAAUAAAAAAUAAAAUGAAUAAAUUUCCCAUGUCCUCCCCAAAACAAAUCCAGUUAAGAAAAAAAAAAAAAAGAAAAUGUUAAGAAGGUAGUUUAAUAAAUUAGAUUAAGCAUGUGGCCAUUGUAGUCAGAACUACUUUAGAUACCUGUUCUAUUAUUUGCCAGCUAGGAAACUGGAGCAGAUUCCUUAAAUUCUUUAAAUUUUCACUUUCCUUCUAAGGAAAAUGGACCUGAAAGUAGUUGGUUUUCCAGACUCACCUCACAACAUUGUCUAAAAGAUUAAGUUAUAUAAUUCAUAUAAAACUCUCAGAAAAGUACCAGCCAAGUAGUAUGAGAUCAGUACAUAUUAACUGUUAUUGUUAAUAUGACUGUUGUUAAUAAUAUUAUAUUUUGCUAAUAUUAUUAUUUAUCAACGUUAUUAUUUUGAAGAGCUGAGAGCUUCCAAGUCUGUACCUUCAGUUCAGAUCCCUUUUUUGGGGUCAGGGCCUGCCUUCAUCUUUCAAAACAAUACAUCUGCUCAACUCUAUUUCUCUAACUGUUAGCUUUGCUCUUGACUUGGCCUAAGCUCUGGAAAAAGCAAUGCCAUUAACUCUGCGUAAUGGAAUCCUGCAUGGGCUCUUUAAUAUUCUUUCAGUUAUCAGAACAGUUCUGUUUCAAUAUUUAAUCUUUACUCUUUUACAUUUUAUGAUUUUGGCCUCAAACUUUAUUUAAAGCUCUCUUUUUUCUUCAAAAGAUACCUAGAAUUUUCAUGUCUUCAGCAGCUUGGAGUAGAGUUUCCCUCAGCCCCCUUUACCUUCUAGUGCUAGAUCCUCUCUUAGGUUCAGGUGGAGAGCAAAGAGAGGGAACAGGCAAACUUCUCCUUUCUGAACUGGGAGUAGAAGCAGUUACUUGUUAACUGAUGGGAAGUCCCUAGCUCACACUGGUAAUUUCUGUCGUGGAGCACUGGAGGGUCCUGGUCAGGUGUCCUGCUGAUUCUCUGAUACAGGAGAUCUAGCUCUGGCUUGGUAUUGUCCUCCUGCUCCUCCUCCCCUUAGCUCCUUCCUUAUUCCACAGCAUCUUGCUGCUGGGGUCCCUCUUGGGAGAACUUUCUGCAAGAUAGCUCUAACUCAGUUCCCUCUAAGGUGUCUGUUUGCUCCAGCUUUCAGAGUAUAAGGUGAGUCCCACUGUUUCCCUCUUCUUUGGCCCUGUCUUUCUUCUCUUUUCUCAGCUCAUUGUGACCAAGGGGCAGAUUAGUGAGUCUGAUGAUUCCACAAGUGUACAACUAGAGAACAAAAUGCUCUUUUUUUCUCACAGAAAUCCUUCUAUUGCAUAAGUAAUCUUCAUGAAGCUCCCCAUUCCCCAUGGAAUUUGAAAGGAGAAGCAUUCCUGUAGCCUUCUGUUGAUAAGAGAAGAAUCUUCCUGUUUGGACACUGGGCUUCUGAAAAGGCCAUGUGCUCUCCUAUCUCACAGUCUUCUUUCUUUUACUUUCUUUGUUUUUUCUCUUUUUAAUUGUUUAUUUCUGACUUCACAGUCUUGUAUGUGUUUUGACUGUCACAAGGAUGAGCAUUUGGUGUGGUAGUAAAACAUUAUUGGAUUAGUACCUCUCAUUAGUCCCUAAAAAUACAUAUGUAUCUGGCCCCAACUCUUGGUGACUCUCUAAGCUUAGGAGGCAUUUUUUUGGUAUGUUUUAUGUAUAUUUUUGAACUUACACAAUGGUUUUGAAAACAGGACAAAUUGUCACUCCCAGAGAUACGGAAGAUUGUUAUCUCAUUCUAACUUUAUAUUACCAAUAUCUAACACAGCCGCUGCAAAAUGAUUGGUACUAAUAAAUAUUUGUUGAAUGAAUAAAUGAAUGAGUGAAAAGCAGAAUGUAAUAUGUAGAAAAGUUGAUCAUAAAUUCUUUGGUACAUAAUAGAAUAUAAUAUAAUCUGGGAAGUGUUCACCCUGAGAAAUUGCUAUCAUCAUCUUAAUGCCAUAUAACAUUUAAAGUUCUUAAAUUGCUCCCCUUGAUACCAUUGUGUUUAUUGACCCUAUUUUUAUACUUUUAUGCUUUGGUUUCAUUUUCUACUUAUUAGUUAAAUAAUUAUGAGAACUGUGGGAAUAAAUUUAAAAUAUUACUGUGUUUCUAUAGAGAGUUCUGCUGUAAUGUAGUGAUUAUGAAAUGAUCUCAAAUGUACUCAGGAUUAUUAAAAUGUAUAGUUUAAUAAAUAUUUUUAUUUUUGGUUAUUCUUUCCCAAAUUACAUUAAAAUGAUCCUCUUGCACUUA